UUCUUUCCUUCUUCCACUCUUCUUCUUUCGUUCUUCCACUCUUCUUUCCUUCUUCCACUCUCCUUUCCUUUCUUCUUUCCUUCUUCCACUCUUCUUUCCUUCUUCUACUCUUCUUUUCUUUCUUCACUCUUCUUUCCUUCUUCCACUCUUCUUUCCUUCUUCUACUCUUCUUUUCUUUCUUCACUCUUCUUUCCUUCUUCUUUCUUUUCUUCUUUCCUUUCUUCACUCUUCUUUCCUUUCUUCUUUCCUUCUUCCACUCUUCUUUCCUUCUUCUACUCUUCUUUUCUUUCUUCACUCUUCUUUCCUUCUUCCACUCUUCUUUCCUUCUUCUACUCUUCUUUUCUUUCUUCACUCUUCUUCCACUCUUCUUUCCUUUCUUCUUUCCUUCUUCCACUCUUCUUUCCUUCUUUCUUUUCUUCUUUCCUUCUUCCACUCUUCUUCCACUCUUCUUUCCUUCUUUCACUCUUCUUUCUUUUCUUCUUUCCUUCUUCCACUCUUUUUUCCUUCUUUCACUCUUCUUUCCUUCUUUCACUUUUCUUUUUUUUUCUUCUUUCCUUCUUCCACUUUUCUUUCUUCACUCUUCUUUCUUUUCUUCUUUCCUUCUUCUUUACUUCUUCCACUCUUCUUUCCUUUCUUCUUUCCUUCUUAUACUUUUCUUUUUUUUCCUCUUUCCUUCUUCUUUCCUUUCUUCACUCUUCUUUCUUUUCUUCUUUCCUUCUUCCCUUCUUCUUUCCUUCUUCGACUCUUCUUUCCUUUCUUCUUUCCUUUCUUUACUCUUCUUUCCUUUCUUAUUUCCUUCUUUCACUCUUCUUUCCUUUCUUAUUUCCUUCUUUCACUCUUCUUUCUUUUCUUCUUCCUUUCUUAACUUUUGCAUUUCAUGCACUGGUAUUUCCUUCAGGAAAUGCAUUUUCUAGUUCUUCUUCUUCUUCUUCUUCUUCUUAUUAUUCUCUUUACCGACUUCUGCGCUUAAUUCAGCUUGAACCGCUUAACGUAGAAACUUCGUUCAAACUUUGCUGCAUAGGUCUUCUAAACGACACUUAUGCUAUGUAUUUUUCAUUUGUCUAAACGUUAUACUUUUUAAGAUAUUAAAUAAAAACGAAUACAAAUUUUCCCAUUGACUUACAUUGGGCCAUUAUGACAUCAUAAUAGGGUCAUUAAACUGGCUUGCACCUGUGCUUCACUGACACCUGCGCCAAGGUUCCAAGGCUCCUCUUCUC
ensembl:lncRNA